AAGGGUGUUUAUGUCUUUCUGAAAAAUGGAAUAAUGGAAACAGUACAAUUUGGAAAAGAUGCAUAUGUCUAUCUGAAGAAUCCUCCUCAAGAUUUUCUUCCCAAACUGGGAGUGAUUACAGUUUCAGGAUUGGCGGGUGUGAUUUCAGCAAGAAAAGGUUCCAGGUUUAAGAAAAUUGCUUAUCCAGUAGGCCUGGCCACAUUAGGAGCAACUGUUUGCUACCCAGCUCAGUCAAUAAUAAUUGCAAAGGUAA